rnacentral:rRNA from 1 species
UACGAAGGGGGCUAGCGUUGCUCGGAAUCACUGGGCGUAAAGCGCACGUAGGCGGCUUACUAAGUCAGGGGUGAAAUCCUGGAGCUCAACUCCAGAACUGCCUUUGAUACUGCUGGGCUCGAGUCCGGAAGAGGCGAGUGGAAUUCCUGGUGUAGCGGUGAAAUGACGCAGAUAUCAGGAGGAACACCGAUGGCGAAGGCAGCUCGCUGGGACGGUACUGACGCUGAGGCGCGAAAGCGUGGGGAGCGAACAGG